rnacentral:piRNA from 1 species
UGCUCACUGACAGCCUUCAUAAAAGAG